UGGGGGAUAUUGCACAAUGGGCGAAAGCCUGAUGCAGCGACGCCGCGUGGGGGAUGAAGGCCUUCGGGUUGUAAACUUCUUUUGCUCUGAACAAGGCGCACCAUGGGGUGUGUUGAGUGUAGGGGUUGAUUAGCGCCGGCUAACUACGUGCCAGCAGCCGCGGUAAUACGUAGGGCGCGAGCGUUGUCCGGAAUUAUUGGGCGUAAAGGGCUUGUAGGUGGCUGGUUGCGUCUGUCGUGAAAGCUCAUGGCUUAACUGUGGGUUUGCGGUGGGGACGGGCUGGCGUGAGUGCAGUAGGGGAGGCUGGAAUUCCUGGUGUAGCGGUGGAAUGCGCAGAUAUCAGGAGGAAUACCGGUGGCGAAGGCGGGUCUCUGGGCUGUUACUGACACUGAGGAGCGAAAGCAUGGGGAGCGAACAGA
rnacentral:rRNA from 1 species